rnacentral:rRNA from 1 species
AUACGGAGGGUGCAAGCGUUACUCGGAAUCACUGGGCGUAAAGCGCGCGCAGGCGGUCUUUUAAGUUGGAUGUGAAAGCCUACGGCCCAACCGUAGAACUGCAUCCAAAACUAUUAGACUAGAGUGUGGGAGAGGAAGAUGGAAUUAGUUGUGUAGGGGUAAAAUCCGUAGAGAUAACUAGGAAUACCAAAAGCGAAGGCAAUCUUCUGGAACACUACUGACGCUGAGGCGCGAAAGCGUGGGGAGCAAACAGGAUUAGAAACCCUUGUAGUCC